GAUGAACGCUGGCGGCGUGCCUAAUACAUGCAAGUCGAGCGAACGGACGAGAAGCUUGCUUCUCUGAUGUUAGCGGCGGACGGGUGAGUAACACGUGGAUAACCUACCUAUAAGACUGGGAUAACUUCGGGAAACCGUAGCUAGUACCGGAUAAUAUUUUGAACCGCAUGGUUCAAAAGUGAAAGACGGUCUUGCUGUCACUUAUAGAUGGAUCCGCGCUGCAUUAGCUAGUUGGUAAGGUAACGGCUUACCAAGGCAACGAUGCAUAGCCGACCUGAGAGGGUGAUCGGCCACACUGGAACUGAGACACGGUCCAGACUCCUACGGGAGGCAGCAGUAGGGAAUCUUCCGCAAUGGGCGAAAGCCUGACGGAGCAACGCCGCGUGAGUGAUGAAGGUCUUCGGAUCGUAAAACUCUGUUAUUAGGGAAGAACAUAUAUGUAAGUAACUGUGCACAUCUUGACGGUACCUAAUCAGAAAGCCACGGCUAACUACGUG
rnacentral:rRNA from 1 species